CACAGCAGGCCUUACCACCUUCAGAUCUCAGGAGCUUGACUAGACUGGGCCCGGGCAGUACUGAGGUGGGAGAGCUCUAGGGAAAACCAGGUUGCUGCUGUAG
rnacentral:rRNA from 1 species